GUGCGAAAGCGUGGGGAGCAACAAGAUUAGAUACCUGGUAGUUCACGCCGUAAAGAUGUCAACUAGCCGUUGGGACUCUUGAAGUCUUAGUGGCGCAGCUAACGCACUAAAGUUGACCGCCUGGGGGAGUACGGCCCGCAAGGUUAAAACUCAAAUGAAUUGACGGGGGCCCGCACAAAGCGGUGGAGCAUGUGGUUUAAUUCGACGCAACGCGAAAGAACCUUACCUGGCCUUGACAUCCAGAGAACUUUCCAGAGAUGGAUUGGUGCCUUCGGGAACUCUGAGACAGGUGCUGCAUGGCCGUCGUCAGCUCGUGUCGUGAGAUGUUGGGUUAAGUCCCGUAACGAGCGCAACCCCUAUACCUGGUUGCUAGCAGGUAAUGCUGAGAACUCCAGGGAGACUGCCGGUGACAAACCGGAGGAAGGUGGGGAUGACGUCAGGUCAUCAUGGCCCUUACGGCCAGGGCUACACACGUGCUACAAUGGCGCGUACAGAGGGCUGCCAACUCGCGAGAGUGAGCCAAUCCCUUAAAACGCGUCGUAGUCCGGAUCGGAGUCUGCAACUCGACUCCGUGAAGUCGGAAUCGCUAGUAAUCGCGAAUCAGAAUGUCGCGGUGAAUACGUUCCCGGGCCUUGUACACACCG
rnacentral:rRNA from 1 species